UACGUAGAUGACAAGCAUUAUCCGGAUUUACUGGGCGUAAAGGGCGUGUAGGCGGCCCUGCAAGUCAGAAGUGAAAUUCCCGAGCUCAACUCGGGCGCUGCUCCUGAAACUGUAGGGCUUGAGUGCUGGAGGGGAUAGCGGAAUUCCUAGUGGAGCGGUAAAAUGCGUAGAUAUUAGGAAGAACACCGGUGGCGAAGGCGGCUAUCUGGACAGUAACUGACGCUGAGGCGCGAAAGCGUGGGGAGCAGAC
rnacentral:rRNA from 1 species